ACGUAGGGGGCGAGCGUUGUCCGGAUUUACUGGGCGUAAAGAGCACGUAGGCGGCCUUGCAAGUCAGUUGUGAAAGCCUUUCGCUUAACGGAAGAACGGCAUCUGAUACUACAGGGCUUGAGUACGGGAGGGGAGAGUGGAACUUCUGGUGGAGCGGUGAAAUGCGUAGAUAUCAGAAGGAACGCCGGCGGCGAAAGCGACUCUCUGGUCCGAAACUGACGCUGAGUAUGCGAAAGCUAGGGGAGCAAACGG
rnacentral:rRNA from 1 species